rnacentral:rRNA from 1 species
AUUGAACGCUGGCGGCAGGCUUAACACAUGCAAGUCGAGCGAGCGGCGGACGGGUGAGUAAUGUCUGGGAAACUGCCUGAUGGAGGGGGAUAACUACUGGAAACGGUAGCUAAUACCGCAUACCAUCAGAUGUGCCCAGAUGGGAUUAGCUAGUAGGUGGGGUAAUGGCUCACCUAGGCGACGAUCCCUAGCUGGUCUGAGAGGAUGACCGGCGACACGGGAGCGGGGUCACGGUCCAGGCUCCUACGGGAGGCAGCAAUUGGGAAUGUGGCACAAUGGGCGCAAGCCUGAUGCAGCGAUGCCGCGUGUGUGAAGAAGGCCUUAGGGUUGUAAAGCACUUUCAGCGAGGAGGCGUUACUCGCAGAAGAAGCACCGGCUAACUCCGUGCCAGCAGCCGCGGUAAUAC